rnacentral:rRNA from 1 species
AGAUAAUAGAUACCCUGGUAGUCCAUGCCGUAAACGUUGGGCACUAGGUGUGGGGACAUUCCACGUUUCCGCGCCGUAGCUAAACGCAUUAAGUGCCCCGCCUGGGGAGUACGGCCGCAAGGCUAAAACUCAAAGGAAUUGACGGGGGCCCGCACAAGCGGCGGAGCAUGCGGAUUAAAUUCGAUGCAACGCGAAGAACCUUACCAAGGCUUGACAUGAACCAGACCGGGCUGGAAACAGUCCUUCCCUUGUGGGUUGGUUUACAGGUGGUGCAUGGUUGUCGUCAGCUCGUGUCGUGAGAUGUUGGGUUAAGUCCCGCAACGAGCGCAACCCUCGUUCUAUGUUGCCAGCACGUGAUGGUGGGGACUCAUAGGAGACUGCCGGGGUCAACUCGGAGGAAGGUGGGGACGACGUCAAAUCAUCAUGCCCCUUAUGUCUUGGGCUUCACGCAUGCUACAAUGGCCGGUACAAAGGGUUGCGAUACUGUGAGGUGGAGCUAAUCCCAAAAAGCCGGUCUCAGUUCGGUAUUGGGGUCU